UACAGCAAAAUUUUACAGGAAAUUCCUGUUUUAACAUUUUACAAGAUUUUAGUGUUGUUCACAAUGCAUUAUGGGUAAAAGAAGGUAUUACAGCUGUUAACAGUAUAUUUUCAUUUAAACUGUAAUUGAAUUUACAGGCAGAAGGUGUUGCCACUGCAUAUCAUAUGUUUUUACAAAAAUAAUUGUGAAAUGGCAUCAUGGGAUUGCGUGGGUGUAUUUACAUUUGAAAUGGACAUGAACACUGAAGAGUCAUCAUUCAAAAUUGUUGGUAAGUUCACGUAAAUCAUUAAAAUAUAGUACAGUAUUAAACUAAGUACUAUUAUGGUCAUUUAAAUAGUGAUAUUUGGUAUGCGACCGCUAUACCAGAUAUUAUUAACAUAACAGAUGUUAAUAAUUUGUAUUUCACAACAGCGUGUCAUUAAGACAUGUAGCAAAAUAUAAAAUUAAAUUCUUUACAUUAUUUUAAAUGUUACAUUUGGUAGUUAUGUGUCAUUAACUUUAUAACGUUUCAGAUGUUUGUUUCAGGCAUGAGCGAGGCAGCAAAAAGCGCGAGGGGUCUCGGCUGGACUGCAAGGUGGAGAGACGAAUCUUCAAACUUAAAGGCACGAGACAGCAGAGAUUGCAACUCUAACCUGAUAGGACUGGUGGUGUGAGACAAAUGAGAAAAGGAGCAGUAUACUAGCUGGAGCCAUUCACUUCCAGUCUUUGUGCUAAGCUUAGCUAGCGGGGGCUGCGUCAAACAGAGUUACAGCACGCAUGAAGAUGAGAAAGAUUAUUUUUAGGUGAAAUCCUCAAUGCAACUCAGUGGAUGCUGAGUAUGGACGGUCAGGUGGUUGUGAAUCCACACCCCAACCUUGUGGCUGGAUUUGCAGCUUUGUUCGCAUCAUACUACAACUUCAACCUGGUUUACCAGAGGGAGGCAUACUCCACACUUGAAUUUGUUCAAAGAUGUUUUGUUGGAAUCACAGCUACCACUGGCAUCAAGACAGCAUCAAGAGGCAAAAAAGUGGAAACGCCUCUGAGAAGAGAAACAACACCAUCAACCCUCAUGUGUGUACUCUUUUCAGAAAAUUAUUGGACUUUGAAUGGUUACGCAUGUAAGUUCUUGUUCAUGUAUAAAGACCAAAACAUGUUGUAAAUAGGCCAGUUCUGUGAUUGAACACUUGUGUUUCUAGACAUACAAGUUAUGUCAUGUUCUAACACAGAUUCAACAAGAUCUUAAAUGUAACACAAACCGUGUUUAGAUGUUUUAUAGAUGCCAUUGUUUUAGAAUAUUCAGGAUUGAGUGGAAUAGUUGCUGAAACAACAUCAUUUUUUUGAAAGUACUUUGCUGUCAGUUUUAAUAAAUGUUGUUCUUGAAGCA